UACGGGGGGUGCAAGCGUUAAUCGGAAUUACUGGGCGUAAAGGGUGCGUAGGUGGUUAGAUAAGUUAAAUGUGAAAUACCUGGGCUUAACUUGGGAUGUGCAUUUGAUACUGUUUAGCUUGAGUAUAAGAGAGGGUAGUGGAAUUUCCGGUGUAGCGGUGAAAUGCGUAGAUAUCGGAAGGAACACCAGUGGCGAAGGCGGCUACCUGGCUUGAUACUGACACUGAGGCACGAAAGCAUGGGUAGCGAACAGG
rnacentral:rRNA from 1 species